UAAUACAGAGGUCCCAAGCGUUGUUCGGAUUCACUGGGCGUAAAGGGUGCGUAGGUGGUCGGGUAAGUCUGAUGUGAAAUCUCCAAGCUCAACUUGGAAACUGCAUCGGAUACUAUUCGGCUUGAGGGUUGGAGGGGGGACUGGAAUGCUUGGUGUAGCAGUGAAAUGCGUAGAUAUCAAGCGGAACACCAGUGGCGAAGGCGAGUCCCUGGACAACUCCUGACACUGAGGCACGAAAGCUAGGGGAGCAAACAGGAUUAGAUACCCUGGUAGUCCUAGCCGUAAACGGUGCACGUUUGCUGUAAAAGGAAUCGACCCCUUUUGUGGCGAAGCUAACGCGUUAAACGUGCCGCCUGGGAAGUACGGUCGCAAGAUUA
rnacentral:rRNA from 1 species